rnacentral:pre_miRNA from 1 species
UAACAUCCGCAGGCUGCAGGCCCCAGGCUGGGCUGGGCGAGUACCUCUUAGAAAGGCUCACCCUCCAGCACGACUAGGAGC